UUGAGGAAUAAGCCACGGCUAAUUCCGUGCCAGCAGCCGCGGUAAUACGGGAGUGGCAAGCGUUAUCCGGAAUUAUUGGGCGUAAAGCGUCCGCAGGCGGCCCAGCAAGUCUGUUGUUAAAAAGUGGAGCUUAACUCCAUCCAGGCAAUGGAAACUGCUGGGCUAGAGUGUGGUAGGGGCAGAGGGAAUUCCCGGUGUAGCGGUGAAAUGCGUAGAUAUCGGGAAGAACACCAGUGGCGAAGGCGCUCUGCUGGGCCAUAACUGACGCUCAUGGACGAAAGCCAGGGGAGCGAAAGGGAUUAGAUACCCCUGUAGUCCUGGCCGUAAACGAUGAACACUAGGUGUCGGGGGAAUCGACCCCCUCGGUGUCGUAGCCAACGCGUUAAGUGUUCCGCCUGGGGAGUACGCACGCAAGUGUGAAACUCAAAGGAAUUGACGGGGGCCCGCACAAGCGGUGGAGUAUGUGGUUUAAUUCGAUGCAACGCGAAGAACCUUACCAGGGUUUGACAUCCUGCGAAUCCCUUGGAAACUUGGGAGUGCCUUCGGGAGCGCAGUGACAGGUGGUGCAUGGCUGUCGUCAGCUCGUGUCGUGAGAUGUUGGGUUAAGUCCCGCAACGAGCGCAACCCACGUCUUUAGUUGCCAGCAUUUAGUUGGGCACUCUAGAGAGACCGCCGGUGAUAAACCGGAGGAAGGUGUGGAUGACGUCAAGUCAUCAUGCCCCUUACAUCCUGGGCUACACACGUACUACAAUGCUACGGACAAAGGGCAGCAAACUCGCGAGAGCUAGCAAAUCCCAUAAACCGUGGCUCAGUUCAGAUCGUAGGCUGCAACUCGCCUACGUGAAGGAGGAAUCGCUAGUAAUCGCAGGUCAGCAUACUGCGGUGAAUACGUUCCCGGGCCUUGUACACACCGCCCGUCACACCAUGGAAGUUGGCCAUGCCCGAAGUCGUUACUCCAACCCGUAAGGGAGGAGGACGCCGAAGGUGGGGCUGAUGACUGGGGUGAAGUCGUAACAAGGUAGCCGUACCGGAAGGUGCGGCUGGAUCACCUCCUAACAGGGAGACAAAACUGAUUGUGAUGUCUGAGCGCUAUGAGGACGAAAGUCUGAGUGGCACAUUUGUCUUAGUCCACAAUCCUGUCAUCUCGAAGGUCGAUCGGUACCUCAGCUGACAAAUCAGAAAGCAGAGAUUAGAUCCAGCAAUGGAUUUGAUUGAAGACUUGUCUGAGGCGUCUUUUCAGUUCCUAAACUUUGUCUAGGUCACACCCCACAGAGAGUGAAUCCCGCGAGGGAGGAGCUUAAUGGAAAGGUAAAACUCCUGGGCCAUUAGCUCAGGUGGUUAGAGCGCACCCCUGAUAAGGGUGAGGUCCCUGGUUCAAGUCCAGGAUGGCCCAUUCGUGUUUGGGGGUUUAGCUCAGUUGGUAGAGCGCCUGCUUUGCAAGCAGGAUGUCAGCGGUUCGAGUCCGCUAACCUCCACUGACCAAACCCUUCACAGCGAAAGCAGGAGGAGGAAACCGAGCCAUGCCAUGGUGUGACGAGACAUGUCCGCUGAUCAAGAAUUCAGCUUCUUUUCAUUUGAGAUGGAAUUGCCAUCCAGUUGAAAAGACGCUGAGCUCUAGCAGUAUGAAUGGAGGCUGAAAAGUCUGGAUUCAUGCUCUGAUGUUCAGCUGAACCUUGACAACUGCAUAA
rnacentral:misc_RNA from 1 species